UACGUAGGGCGCGAGCGUUAAUCGGAAUUACUGGGCGUAAAGCGUGCGCAGGCGGUUUUGUAAGCCAGAUGUGAAAUCCCCGGGCUUAACCUGGGAAUGGCAUUUGGGACUGCAAGGCUUGAGUGCGGCAGAGGAGACUGGAAUUCCCGGUGUAGCAGUGAAAUGCGUAGAUAUCGGGAGGAAUACCGAUGGCGAAGGCAGGUCUCUGGGCUGACACUGACGCUCAUGCACGAAAGCGUGGGGAGCAAACAGG
rnacentral:rRNA from 1 species